rnacentral:rRNA from 1 species
ACGCCUCUAAGUCAGAAUCCAUGCUGGAAUGGACGAUAAUCACCCUUCCUGAUGUAACGCGAAUAGCGAUAGGCCUUCGGGCCCAACAUCAUAAAAUUGCAACGCACUCGCGUCGUCUGACAAGUGUUGGCGGCGGAGAGUAUGCUGAAUUGUAAUUUCAAAUAUUGGGAAGGAUAAAUCCUUUGUAGACGACUUAAAUACAGAACAGGGUGUUGUAAGCAUGAGAGUAGUCUUGUACUACGAUCUGCUGAGAUUUAGCCCUUGUUCUAUUGAUUUGUUCA